CCCGCCGCGACCGGCGCACGGGUGAGUAACACGUAUGCAACCUGGCCGCCACAGGGGGAUAACCCGCGGAAACGCGGCCUAAUACCCCGUGACGCCACCGGAGGGCAUCCUCCGGUGGCCAAAGGAGCGAUCCGGUGGCGGAUGGGCAUGCGGCGCAUUAGCUAGACGGCGGGGUGACGGCCCACCGUGGCGACGAUGCGUAGGGGUUCUGAGAGGAAGGUCCCCCCACAUUGGAACUGAGACACGGUCCAAACUCCUACGGAAGGCAGCAG
rnacentral:rRNA from 1 species